AUUGAACGCUGGCGGCAUGCCUUACACAUGCAAGUCGAACGCCCCGCAAGGGGAGUGGCAGACGGGUGAGUAACGCGUGGGAAUCUACCUAGUUCUACGGAACAACAGAGGGAAACUUCUGCUAAUACCGUAUACGCCCUAUGGGGGAAAGAUUUAUCGGAAUUAGAUGAGCCCGCGUAAGAUUAGCUAGUUGGUGAGGUAAUGGCUCACCAAGGCGACGAUCUUUAGCUGGUCUGAGAGGAUGAUCAGCCACACUGGGACUGAGACACGGCCCAGACUCCUACGGGAGGCAGCAGUGGGGAAUAUUGGACAAUGGGCGCAAGCCUGAUCCAGCCAUGCCGCGUGAGUGAUGAAGGCCUUAGGGUUGUAAAGCUCUUUCAGUGGGGAAGAUAGUGACGGUACCCACAGAAGAAGCCCCGGCUAACUUCGUGCCAGCCGCCGCAGUAA
rnacentral:rRNA from 1 species